rnacentral:rRNA from 1 species
UACGUAGGGGGCAAGCGUUGUCCGGAAUUAUUGGGCGUAAAGAGCGUGUAGGCGGCCACUUAAGUCCUGCGUGAAAUCCUGCGGCUCAACCGCAGGCGGUCGUGGGAAACUGGGUGGCUAGAGUGCGGGAGAGGAGAGUGGAAUUCCUGGUGUAGCGGUGGAAUGCGCAGAUAUCAGGAAGAACACCCGGUGGCGAAAGGCGGCAUC